rnacentral:rRNA from 1 species
UCCAGACUCCUACGGGAGGCAGCAGUGGGGAAUAUUGCACAAUGGGCGAAAGCCUGAUGCAGCAACGCCGCGUGAAGGAAGACGGUUUUCGGAUUGUAAACUUCUUUUCUUAGUGAAGAAUAAUGACGGUAACUAAGGAGCAAGCCACGGCUAACUACGUGCCAGCAGCCGCGGUAAUACGUAGGGGGCAAGCGUUAUCCGGAUUUACUGGGUGUAAAGGGAGCGUAGACGGCAAUACAAGUCGGAAGUGAAAUACCCGGGCUCAACCUGGGAACUGCUUUGGAAACUGUAUGGCUGGAGUGCUGGAGAGGUAAGCGGAAUUCCUAGUGUAGCGGUGAAAUGCGUAGAUAUUAGGAGGAACACCAGUGGCGAAGGCGGCUUACUGGACAGUAACUGACGUUGAGGCUCGAAAGCGUGGGGAGCAAACAGGAUUAGAUUCCCGCGUAUU